rnacentral:lncRNA from 1 species
GGUGUUUUGCCAAAAAGCAGAUAAGCAUAGUGAAGUGGCUCAGGUUAAAUUUGGCUAUAACUAUGCAUUUAUAUUGAAAGCUGCGCUUCUUCAUCAGGGAAAGAAAUAAGAGAAAGCAGAAAUUCUGACUGCCCACUACCUACUGCUAUUAUCUCUCCCUCCCCUUCUAGUGCCAAGGAUUUGUGUUGACAAAAGCAUGAAGAAAGACUGUGUAAAUACCUUCCAUUUACAAAUAAAUAGAAAGGCAUAGAUACCUCUUCAAAGGGCAAGUCAUCUCCUGUUGGAUGGCUGUAGAGGGGAUGAGAGGAGUUACCUUUUAGAAAUGUUGAUUUAUUUCCAAUUGGUGUAAUGGGCAGAUGUGGUUAUUAGCUUAAAUUUACACAUUCUUUAAAUAUUUCAGUUCUUUGAAUGGAAAAUCUUUGUAUUUUUUGGUGACAUCUUAUCAACAAACUCAUGAAGGAAGCUUCAAAUUUAUAAGAUCCUGACCCAAUCCCAUUAUUCGGCAAAUGCUUCUUUCCAUUGGUUUCUUUUCCAUGAUAUCUCAAUAAACAAUGUUUUUUCUUAGCUCAACCUCAAGAUACAUGGAGAACAUUAUUACUGGGAAAGGCGAAAGUUUGUUUUCCAACUAUGGACUCAAAGUGGGCUGAAGGCAAGAGCAAACUGAGUGUAUACUAUCUGCAAGGCUGUGGUAGCUUGCUGGUCAUAGUAAACACUACCUCUGAAGAUGGAUGGAAACCAGAAGUUACCUUAGUUUUGGCAUGAACAUGAACAAGUCUUCACUGAUUGAGGAAUUUGACACACGGCUUUUAAACAAUAUUCCAUUCACACUACAGGUAAGUAUCUCUCCGGUAUUUGGGAUCCUAAGGAUCUUAACUGCUGAGUUGAAAUACAUCGGAUGAAAAUUCCGAGGAAGUGGCAAUUUGAAAUCUAUUUCCUUGUAGGAUGGGAGAUAUGAAUACCUUGGUGACAGGGAGCAAGUCUUGAUAUUGGGGUUCAAAUGCUAAUCAGCUACUCGUCUUCAGGAGCAGCCUGUGAGACAGCAAGCAGAAGACACUUGUGUUGUUGGCAUAUAAGGCCAAAUCUAGGGCAGGAAUCCAGUCUGCUGCCAUCAUCAUGGAUGUGGCCUUGCAAACUGAAAACGU